UCGGGUAUGGUGCACGGCGCACAGCUCUGCUCCUUGCGGAGCUAAUGGUGUGCGUAAUGCUCACCGCUCCUCGCCGUUCAAUAAUGGUAAUUGCCGCAGGAGCAGACCGGGGUUCGACUCCCCGUGCCCGAA